GACGAACGCUGGCGGCGUGCUUAACACAUGCAAGUCGAACGGAAAGGCCCUGCUUUUGUGGGGUGCUCGAGUGGCGAACGGGUGAGUAACACGUGAGUAACCUGCCCUUGACUUUGGGAUAACUUCAGGAAACUGGGGCUAAUACCGGAUAGGAGCUCCUGCUGCAUGGUGGGGGUUGGAAAGUUUCGGCGGUUGGGGAUGGACUCGCGGCUUAUCAGCUUGUUGGUGGGGUAGUGGCUUACCAAGGCUUUGACGGGUAGCCGGCCUGAGAGGGUGGCCGGCCACAUUGGGAUUGAGAUACGGCCCAGACUCCUACGGGAGGCAGCAGUGGGGAAUAUUGCACAAUGGGCGGAAGCCUGAUGCAGCAACGCCGCGUGCGGGAUGACGGCCUUCGGGUUGUAAACCGCUUUCGCCUGUGACGAAGCGUGAGUGACGGUAAUGGGUAAAGAAGCACCGGCUAACUACGUGCCAGCAGCCGCGGUGAUACGUAGGGUGCGAGCGUUGUCCGGAUUUAUUGGGCGUAAAGGGCUCGUAGGUGGUUGAUCGCGUCGGAAGUGUAAUCUUGGGGCUUAACCCUGAGCGUGCUUUCGAUACGGGUUGACUUGAGGAAGGUAGGGGAGAAUGGAAUUCCUGGUGGAGCGGUGGAAUGCGCAGAUAUCAGGAGGAACACCAGUGGCGAAGGCGGUCCUCUGGGCCUUUCCUGACGCUGAGGAGCGAAAGCGUGGGGAGCGAACAGGCUUAGAUACCCUGGUAGUCCACGCUGUAAACGGUGGGUACUAGGUGUGGGGUCCAUUCCACGGGUUCCGUGCCGUAGCUAACGCUUUAAGUACCCCGCCUGGGGAGUACGGCCGCAAGGCUAAAACUCAAAGGAAUUGACGGAGCCCCGCACAAGCGGCGGAGCAUGCGGAUUAAUUCGAUGCAACGCGUAGAACCUUACCUGGGUUUGACAUGGAUCGGGAGCGCUCAGAGAUGGGUGUGCCUCUUUUGGGGUCGGUUCACAGGUGGUGCAUGGCUGUCGUCAGCUCGUGUCGUGAGAUGUUGGGUUAAGUCCCGCAACGAGCGCAACCCUUGUUCACUGUUGCCAGCACGUUAUGGUGGGGACUCAGUGGAGACCGCCGGGGUCAACUCGGAGGAAGGUGGGGAUGACGUCAAGUCAUCAUGCCCCUUAUGUCCAGGGCUUCACGCAUGCUACAAUGGCUGGUACAGAGAGUGGCGAGCCUGUGAGGGUGAGCGAAUCUCGGAAAGCCGGUCUCAGUUCGGAUUGGGGUCUGCAACUCGACCUCAUGAAGUCGGAGUCGCUAGUAAUCGCAGAUCAGCAACGCUGCAGUGAAUACGUUCCCGGGGCU
rnacentral:rRNA from 1 species